ACCAGCGUAGGGCCUCAGGGACCAGAAUCAAGGCACCUCCACCAUGGCCUGGACCCCUCUCCUCCUCGGAUUCCUGGCUCACUGCACAGGCUCCAUGGCCUCCUAUGUGCUGACUCAGCUCCCCUCCAUGUCUGUAAACCUGGGACAGACGGUAAGGACCACCUGUGGAGGAAACAACAUUGGAAGUAAACGUGUUCAGUGGUACCAGCAGAAGCCAGGCCGGGGCCCUGUGCUGGUUAUCUAUGGUAAUAGCAACCGGGCCUCAGGGAUCCCGAACUGGUUCUCAGGCACCAACUCCGGGAUCAUGGCCACCCUGACCAUCAGUGGGGCCCAGGCUGAGGACGAGGCAGACUAUUACUGUCUCUCAUUUUGCCCUUUUCUAUCAGAUUCUCUAUCUUCCCCAAACCACUGA